rnacentral:misc_RNA from 1 species
AAGAUGCUCGACUAUAUACAUCAAUGAUUAAUAAUAGUGAAGGUGUGUAACUGAAUCAGUAAAAGUUUGUGCCUUUUAAUAACAUAAUUCACAAAUAAUUAGUCAAAUGGUUCAUCGAAUGCAUGUCCAAGACAAGACAUUAUUCAGACCACUCUACCUUACCUUCUCAACAGUGAAUCAUUGAUGUAUAUAGUCGAGCAUCUU